rnacentral:lncRNA from 1 species
GGAUUGGGAUAUUCCGACUCCUUAAGGGCCUGGCGCACAUAAGGUGUGACCUUUUCAUUCCCGUUGUUAUGGAGGGCCACAUCUGCCAGAGCCUGGAGUCUGCGAAGGCCGGGACCCGGUUCCCCGGCCCACAGUGGGGGUGUGCAAACCCGAGAGAACUGGGAAGUGCCGUCAGAAGCGAUAACUGACGACGUCUAAUGUCUAUCUGACCGCAGUCGCUGAAACCUCUACAACUUAGUUGACCGUAACUGCCAGAGCCCUGCCCUGAAUUCCUGUCCUUACUCCCUCUUUAAGAUUGCGUACCCACUGCAGAGUGCUGAAGACGGGGUAGCCACGAGGUUGCAAAUUCGUGAAGAAUCAGCAUCAUGUUUGGCAGCUGAGUAUUGGAGCCAGGAGCCUGCCAUGAGGUUUUGAGAACAGAGUGCUGUUUUAGAGCUGGCAGCAGCAUCUCAGCCCAAGAGAAGGUAAGCCUUGAGCUGGCCAAUGAUCCCUUCAACCCCAUAGUGGAAUGAAUAAACAGCUGAUCUUGUUAAAACUCGCUUCAAAAAAAAA